CUGCAACUCGCCUGCAUGAAGGCGGAAUUGCUAGUAAUCGCGAAUCAGAAUGUCGCGGUGAAUACGUUCCCGGGCCUUGUACACACCGCCCGUCACACCAUGGGAGUCGGGAAUGCCCGAAGCCGGUGGCCCGAUCGAGAGAAGGGAGCCGUCGAAGGCAGGCCGGAUGACUGGGGUGAAGUCGUAACAAGGUAAC
rnacentral:rRNA from 1 species